rnacentral:rRNA from 1 species
GACGAACGCUGGCGGCGUGCCUAAUACAUGCAAGUCGAGCGGAUGAAAGAGGAGCUUGCUCCUCUAGAUUCAGCGGCGGACGGGUGAGUAACACGUGGGCAACCUGCCCUGUAGAUUGGGAUAACUCCGGGAAACCGGGGCUAAUACCGAAUAAUCCUUCGGACCUCAUGGUCCGAUGUUGAAAGACGGUUUCGGCUGUCACUACAGGAUGGGCCCGCGGCGCAUUAGCUAGUUGGUGAGGUAACGGCUCACCAAGGCCACGAUGCGUAGCCGACCUGGGAGGGUAAUCGAGCACACUGGGACUGAGACACGGCCCAGACUCCUACGGGAGGCAGCAGUAGGGAAUCUUCCACAAUGGACGAAAGUCUGAUGGAGCAACGCCGCGUGAGUGAAGAAGGUUCUCGGACAGUAAAACUCUGUUGUGAGGGAAGAACAAGUACCGGAGUAACUGCCGGUGCCUUGACGGUACCUCAUUAGAAAGCCACGGCUAACUACGUGCCAGCAGCCGCCGUAA